GACACACUUACAAAGGGGAUUUUGACCCUGAAAGAGGGGUAGGCGAGUAUAACGAAAAAGACUACAAAAAGUAAGGAAGAACAGUAGAAAUGAAGCAGAGUGUCAGGAAGAACUGUUCAAGAAAAAGAAGAAGUUAAGGUCCCCCUAGAUGUUCCCCAGCCUUUUUAAAAAGGAGAGCUGGAAAAAGACAGCUCUAUCUGGAUAAACAAACUGGGAAGACGCACCUGAUGAAAAUGUGUGUAUGAUCUGUGCCCACACGUGUGUUUUUCCAUUUAUACUUUUAUAGUGGGGAGAUCUAGAGCACACCAAUGCUCUAAUGGCAAUCGUACAUCGAAAAGCCUGGGAAGAAAACCAAUGACUCUGGCAGUGGAAGCAAUUUAUCUCUGCUGAGAACAUGGCACCCUUGGAUAGAUGAUGCACCCUGAUAUUGCCCUGCUAACAAGAUCCCCUAACUUGGAAGAUAACUGAGAGAAGUUCACACUGAUCACACUGACUAUCAACCAAAUGCUGCUCAGUAAAAGUCAAAGUCUGGAAAAAUACAUUAAGAUAAAGAAGAAUUAUGUCUCCUGAAGAAGAAAUGGGUUCAACUGAGAUAAAAAAUACAAAUGGCAGAUUUCCUACUCUGGUUCUUAGUGCUGUGCCUAAGCCAAAAACCCAGGAUGAGCUCUUGUGCUUGUGAGAGCUCGAACAAAUGUGACAGUCACUGAAAAUGUGCACUGUGGACUUGAAAGGUGCACAGAAGCUCUAGGAGGAGAUCUAAGUCUGCACAUUUUCAUUGUGAAUACCAGUCCUGAAGCCUGACAACAGCAGUUUAAAUAGAAAGUUGAUAACUAUUUCAUGGCUCAUGUUCUCAAGAGGAAUAUUCAAAUAACAGUAUAUUUCACUAUUGCUUUUCAGGUGCCUUCUUGCCUCCAAAUAUUCUGAUUUUAAAAUUCAUCUACAUAGUUUUAUAGUUUUUAAAUCCAGCUUUUAGACUGACUGGAUAGAGAAUUUUUUUUCAGCUCUUCAUUUCAGUGGUAGUGGAGAUACUUUUCAUAUCUAAAAAUUAUACCAGUUAUUUUAAUGUGAAAAUACAAUAAUAUUUUUAUUCUAGUUUAUUCUGAAGUUCUUGUUUGCACAUGAUGGAGUCUUUCAAUGUAAAUAAUUAACAUAUGAAUAGGCUUUAUCAGUGUUUAUUGAGAGCAGAAAAGCAAUGGAAUAAUGUCCAAUGACAGCUAUGAACAUUCUCUUUUUCCUUUCAUUGGUGCCAUAAAAAUAAAUGAAAAUAAAGUCCUCACCUCAGUCAGAAAAAAUUCUGCUGAGAUUAUGUGGUAAAUUAUUUGGAGAAAGAAUAUAACAUAAACAGAGAUGGUUAUGAGAAAGAUUUUCUGACAGAACAUCUCUUUAGAUUAAUACGUUUUGCACAAAUACAGCUUUGUGUUUUCAUUUGUUAGUAUAAAUGCAACUUAGCUGGAGUCAAAAGUAUUCUGGAUCUGCAUAUUAAUAGGAACUCUGUCUUGGAUUUUCCCUCUGUCAUUUACUUAACUCAUUAACUUAUACCUCAGACAUGGGGAAAGGAAAAGAAGAAAUCCCUUGCAGACUCUAUGAAUCUCUGCUGCUGAUUCCCAGCAGCCUCAGAACACGCUCCUUUCUGCCCCCAAAGAAACACCAUCUCCCUUGUCUGCUGAGUCCUUCUGUUCCAUGUGAAGCCUCUGCCUACCUCAGAACAGCUUCACCCGAGCAAAGAGAUCCAUCAGCUCUGGCAGAAGGUUAUCUCCAUGAUCAGAAAUGGGCUUCCCAGCAGCACCGGGUGAUGUUCUGAGACUUUUCUCUUCUUAUGUCAACAGCAGUGCUGAGAGGAUACCUCACUUUGCCAUCUAAAUUUGUAGCUUAACUGGAGCACAGCCGAGCAGCAGCCACCUCAGGACGGAAGUUUUAUUUUGAUCGUGCCCCAUGGAGGCAUCAUAGUGAAUGGUGAGGUUUGAAGAAUGAUAAUGAAAUUGCUCAGGACUGCUUAUGUAAACCUUCCUGGAAAUCUGUGAGGUAGGAAGAGAGACAGCACCAAGGUGCCUCUUACUAGUAUAACAAAUAGCGUUGCCAUUCUCAGCUGCCUGGGACUGGUGCUUUCAGCUCUUCUGUGCUGGCUGUAAAAUGAACUCACUUCUGCAGUCAGCAUUUGCAGACAUGCAUCUGUAUAUUAUUAUUGAAAAAAUCUUUUACAGAAUGACUAUAAUAGACAAUAAAUCUUGCUUUCUAUUUCUUCUUCUUCUUCUUCUUCUUUUUUUUUUCCUUUUCUUUUUGUUUUUUAAAUUGUAAUAUUAGACCAACAAGUAUUGAAAAUCAUCCUUAUUCACAACUUAUAAAAUGGCUUCCUUUCUGCAACAUCCCUGAAAGCACCCACUAUCUCAUUUUCUAAAUUCUUCUUUGAUAUUUUGUCUGGUUUUACAGAUUAUUAUUUGGACGCUGAAUAGUUAUUUCUGGAAAGAGAAAAAUUUCUGAUAGGAAUGCGAUAGGAUCCAUUCUUUUACCUUUGCGGAACAGUUUUAAGCAGGUAAGACAUACUUAAUGUUAUAGAGGUCAAAAGUGAAAUUGCUCAGUUUGGGAAUAGAGAAGGUUUCCUACCCCCCUCCCCCCCUUACAGUGCUUUAUUUCUGUAAGAA